rnacentral:rRNA from 1 species
AUUGAACGCUGGCGGCAGGCCUAACACAUGCACGUCGAACGAGUGGCGGACGGGUGAGUAAUGUCUGGGACACUGCCUGAUGGAGGGGGAUAACUACUGGAAACGGUAGCUAAUACCGCAUACCAUCGGAUGUGCCCAGAUGGGAUUAGCUAGUAGGUGGGGUAACGGCUCACCUAGGCGACGAUCCCUAGCUGGUCUGAGAGGAUGACCAGCUACACUGGAACUGAGACACGGUCCAGACGCCUAAGGGAGGCAGCAGUGGAGAAGAUUGCAGAAUGGACGAAAGCCUAAUGGCGCCAUGCCGCGUGUAUGAAGAAGGCCUACGGGUUGUAAAAUACUUUCAGCGGGAAGGCGUUACCCGCAGAAGAAGCACCGGCUAACUCCGUACCAGCAGCCGCGGUAAUUG